rnacentral:lncRNA from 1 species
GAUCGAGUGUAAACAAGAAAGAUUGCGGAGAGAAAGGAUGAAUUCGAAGAGAAGGUGCGAAUUAAGAGGUAAAAGAUGACAUCUUUCUACUCUUUGCUUUGAGAUUUCGGCUUUGGAUGAAUAAAGGGAAUAAAGAAGGGGGAGGAAAAGGAGGGCGGGAGAGGGCGGAGCGGAUCUAAAUCCCGAUCUCACUCUCCCACUGCCUCUCUAUUUUAAUAUUUUCUUCUCCUGUUGGAGAUGCAAAUGGAGAAGUGGAAGGGAAAGCAGCCGGAGAGGGCUGUGAGCCUGUGAUUGGGCACUGGGCCUUGUGGCCACUCAACCCAAUAAAAACGCGUCUCUCGUCUAUUUAUUUAUUACGUGAAAUUUAGAAGAUAACCUCCCAAAGCUAGUUAGUUAGUUUGAGUUUUUAUUUUCAAAAACUAAUUAGUUGCCUAUUUAAAUACUUGGAGUUAUUUCUAGUUAUUAUAUUAAUAUAUUUAAGUAAAUGGUUGUUAGUUAAACGCAUUUCUAGGAAGCCAUGUGCUGGUCCACCAACGAAAAGCAUUGCAUGAUGCAUAUAUUGUAUGAUACAUUUUGUUAUACUUUUGAGUUUCCGUCUGUAGGUUCUUUUAUUGUACUGAAAUUGCUCUAGUCUUGCUUUUGGUCACCAAUGUUAC